GACGAACGCUGGCGGCGUGCUUAACACAUGCAAGUCGAACGGAAAGGCACUGCUUUUGUGGGGUGCUCGAGUGGCGAACGGGUGAGUAACACGUGAGUAACCUGCCCUUGACUUUGGGAUAACUUCAGGAAACUGGGGCUAAUACCGGAUAGGAGCUCCUGCUGCAUGGUGGGGGUUGGAAAGUUUCGGCGGUUGGGGAUGGACUCGCGGCUUAUCAGCUUGUUGGUGGGGUAGUGGCUUACCAAGGCUUUGACGGGUAGCCGGCCUGAGAGGGUGACCGGCCACAAUGGGACUAAGAGACGGCCCAGACUCCUACGGGAGGCAGCAGUGGGGAAUAUUGCACAAUGGGCGGAAGCCUGAUGCAGCAACGCCGCGUGCGUGAUGACGGCCUUCGGGUUGUAAACCGCUUUCGCCUGUGACGAAGCGUGAGUGACGGUAAUAGGUAAAGAAGCACCGGCUAACUACGUG
rnacentral:rRNA from 1 species